UACGGAGGGGGCUAGCGUUGUUCGGAAUUACUGGGCGUAAAGCGCGCGUAGGCGGACCUGCAAGUCGGGGGUGAAAGCCCGAGGCUCAACCUCGGAACUGCCUUCGAUACUGCGGGUCUCGAGUCCGGGAGAGGUGAGUGGAAUUCCUAGUGUAGAGGUGAAAUUCGUAGAUAUUAGGAAGAACACCAAUGGCGAAGGCGGCUCACUGGCCCGGUACUGACGCUGAGGCGCGAAAGCGUGGGGAGCAAACAGG
rnacentral:rRNA from 1 species